rnacentral:rRNA from 1 species
UAAUCAUUUGUCUAUUAAUUGUAGACCAGUAUGAAAGGCUACAUGAGAGUUGAACUGUCUCUUGUAAUAAAUCAAUAAAACUGAUCUCCUAGUCCAAAAGCUAGAAUACCCAUAUAAGACCAGAAGACCCUGUGAAGCUUAAACUAACCUGCAUUAAACCAAUUAACAGGUACUUUCAGUUGGGGCGACUUUGGAACAAAACAAAACUUCCAAACACCAUGAGCCUUACCUCAUACCUAGGCCGACAAGCCAUUAUAAGACCCAGUCUUACUGAUUAAUGAACCAAGUUACUCCAGGGAUAACAGCGCUAUCUUCUUCAAGAGCCCAUAUCAAAAAGAAGGUUUACGACCUCGAUGUUGGAUCAGGACACCCUAAUGGUGCAGCCGCUAUUAAAGGUU